UCGGGAAUAUUGCCCAAUGCGCGAAAGCGUGAGGCAGCAACGCCGCGUGCGCGAUGAAGGCCUUCGGGUCGUAAAGCGCUUUUCGGUGGGAUGAGGAAGGACAGUACCACCGGAAUAAGGGACGGCUAACUACGUGCCAGCAGCCGCGGUAAAACGUAGGUCCCGAGCGUUAUCCGGAUUUACUGGGCGUAAAGGGCGUUCAGGCGGUGGGCUAAGUCAGGCAUGAAAUCUCACGGCUCAACCGAGAGAGGCUGUCUGAGACUGGCACACUUGAGGGCAGUCGAGGGUGGUGGAAUUCCGGGUGUAGUGGUGAAAUGCGUAGAGAUCCGGAGGAACACCAGUGGCGAAAGCGGCCACCUGGGCUGUACCUGACGCUGACACGCGAAAGCUAGGGGAGCGAACGGG
rnacentral:rRNA from 1 species